UCGAGGAUCUUCGGCAAUGAGCGCAAGCUUGACCGAGCGACGCCGCGUGCGGGAUGAAGGCCUUCGGGUUGUAAACCGCCGUCGGAGUGGAGGAAAUUCCAUGGGGUUCUCCCCAUGGAUUGACUAAUACUCAGAGGAAGGACGGGCUAAGUACGUGCCAGCAGCCGCGGUAAUACGUACCGUCCAAACGUUAUUCGGAUUUACUGGGCUUAAAGGGUGCGUAGGCGGCUCAGAAAGUAGGGUGUGAAAGCCCUCGGCUUAACCGAGGAAUUGCGCCCUAAACUACUGGGCUUGAGGGAGGCAGAGGUAAGCGGAACUUACGGUGGAGCGGUGAAAUGCGUUGAUAUCGUAAGGAACACCAGGAGCGAAAGCGGCUUACUGGGUCUCUUCUGACGCUGAGGCACGAAAGCUAGGGGAGCGAACGGGAUUAGAUACCCCCGUAGUCC
rnacentral:rRNA from 1 species